rnacentral:rRNA from 1 species
UAAUACGUAGGGGGCGAGCGUUGUCCGGAUUUAUUGGGCGUAAAGGGCGUGUAGGCGGCUUUGUAAGUCAGGGGUGAAAGACCGCAGCUCAACUGCGGGCAUGCCUCUGAAACUGCGGAGCUGGAGUGCUCUAGAGGGCAGUGGAAUUGCCGGUGUAGCAGUGAAAUGCGUAGAGAUCGGCAGGAACACCAGUGGCGAAGGCGACUGCCUGGGGAGUAACUGACGCUGAGGCGCGAAAGCUGGGGGAGCAAACGGG